rnacentral:tRNA from 1 species
GGAGAGGUGUCCGAGUGGCUUAAGGAGCUCGCCUGGAACGCGAGUGCUCGGUAAUCCCGGGUCGAGGGUUCGAAUCCCUCCCUCUCCGC